ACAUGUGCCACAUUUGAAAUUUGUUUAGAGAUUAAUCCUAAUAGGUGGUUGUGCCUACCUUUUAAUCAAAGCAUGUAUCCAUUUAGUAUUUCUAAUGGCGAUCAAUAUUUACCCAAGGACUCGGAAUUCGCC